ACAAGAGUAGGAGGAGGAGGAGGGAGGGAGGGAGGAUGACGGUCUGCGGGUGAGGCGGCUUGAAAGUCAGUCGGCUUCACAGCCAUUGCAGCAGAGGCCCCGAAUCAAAGAGAAAGACGAAUGAAGACAGGCAGCGCGCACAGAAAUGCUUUGGAGGCGACGAAGGUGGCGACCCCGGAAAGCUUUUGUGUCUGCGUGUGCGAUGUGGCUGCGCAUGCUGCCGCUUGAGGUGGCGCCUUCACGACUUGCUUCGCAGUAAGCGCGCGACCUGCUGAGCAACGUCGUCGUCCUCUUUCCCCUCCUCCUCGCCCUCCCUAUUCCCAUUAAGCAGCAGCAGCCGCUCGCCGGGGCUCUCCGCACUAGAACUAAUUGCUGGAGUUCGCUUUGCGCCCGCUGGUCAGGGCGGCAAUUGGGAACCACGGCGCGCUCGGAGUCGGAGGCUUCUCCCUCCAGUGGACGGGUGGCCAGCCAGGCAAGCGAACUGGGCAAGCCAACCAGCCUCCCGCCUGGCCGGCCGCAAACAGAACUGCCGCUUGCCAAGAGGAGAGCUGGUCGUGUCGUAGCCGCCGCAGAAGCAGCGGGGGUCGUUGUGGGAGGAAUCAAGCAUGAGAAAUAGGAUGAGAAAAGACAAAAAAAGAAAACCUGGGUCUUAGAGAGCUGCUUGAAGAAAAGGCAUGUUUUUAUUCUGAAGCCAAAUUUUACAUAAUCGAUCUAGAUUAUCAUCUUUGAUGCACGUAUAUAUGAUAGCAGAGAUGGAUCAAAAUGGAACUUCGGAUGUUGAACAAAUAGGUAAUGGAGGAAACAUCCAAGAACUAUUGAAACUGCUGUACAUUGAAUUUUGUAGCAGGCUAUAGAUGUCCUUAUUAAUCUAAUCUCAAUUCACAAAUAACAAAACAGCCUUUAAAGUGAAUAAAAAGAAAGCUG
rnacentral:lncRNA from 1 species